rnacentral:lncRNA from 1 species
AUUAAAUCUACCCUUUAAUCAUUUUCACCUGUUAGAUUAUACUAUUCAACCAACCGCCCACUCAACCCUAGGGGGCCCGCUAUCAACCUAACUAUAACCACUCUGAUCCUGACCGCAUAUUUUUUCAUCCGAACGGUCGAAAACUUAUGAGUACAAAGGACUCUAUACUCAUAUGAGUAUAGUAACCCCAGCCUAUAAAUAUAUAUAUAUGGGGCAAUUGCUUAUAUACCCCUGAAAAGUUUUCAACUUUCCGAUUUACCCCUCUUAGAAGGCUAAUAUUGAAAAUACCCUUUCUACAUUCCAACCUAUUUCUAAUAUACCCCUAGAGUUAAAAUCUGUUAAUGAACUCUAUUAUCUCUAUAAAAUUACUCUUUUGCCCUUUCAAAUAUACCCUUCCACCAUCACUGACUUUCUUAUUUGCCCUUAAUGUAGUACUCUAAACUUGGCACAUUGCGAAGUUCGAGAGUGGAAUUGGUACUUGGAAUUAACCCACAUCUUUUAAAGAGUGGUAGAGAGGUUUUUGGCAAGUUAGAAGAGUGAUCGAAUCGACGGAAGCGCGAAAGUGCAUUGCAAAGUGCAGAAUUCUGCACUCUGCAUUGGGUA